rnacentral:rRNA from 1 species
UACGAAGGGGGCUAGCGUUGCUCGGAUUUACUGGGCGUAAAGGGCGCGUAGGCGGAUAGUUAAGUUGGGGGUGAAAGCCCGGGGCUCAACCUCGGAAUUGCCUUCAAUACUGGCUAUCUUGAGUGUGAGAGAGGUGUGUGGAACUCCGAGUGUAGAGGUGAAAUUCGUAGAUAUUCGGAAGAACACCAGUGGCGAAGGCGACACACUGGCUCACUACUGACGCUGAGGCGCGAAAGCGUGGGGAGCAAACAGG